AGCAGCCGCGGUACUUCCAGCUCCAAUAGCGUAUAUUAAAGUUGUUGCAGUUAAAAAGCUCGUAGUUGAAUUUCGGGAUUUGUCAGUUGGUCGGGCUUCACUGUCCGUACUGGCUUGAUGGAUUCUUACCUUCUGAAUAACCAGCAUGCUAUUAAGUUAGUGCGUUGGGGAAGCAGAUAUAUUACCUUGAAAAAAUUAGAGUGCUUAAAGCGGGCUUGUGCUUGAAUAGAUUAGCAUGGAAUAAUAAAAUAGGACGGCAUGGUUCUAUUUUGUUGGUUUCUAGGAUCACCGUAAUGAUUAAUAGGGAUAGUUGGGGGCAUUAGUAUUCAAUUGUCAGAGGUGAAAUUCUUGGAUUUAUUGAAGACUAACUUCUGCGAAAGCAUUUGCCAAGGAUGUUUUCAUUAAUCAAGAACGAAAGUUAGGGGAUCGA
rnacentral:rRNA from 1 species